UGGCUCAGUGGAAACGAAUCUGACAAGUAUCCAUGAGGACGCAGGUUUGAUUCCUGGCCUCACUCGGUGGUUUAAGGAUCCUGUGUUGCCAUGAGCUGUGGUGUAGUUCUCAGACACGGCUUGGAUCUCGUGUUGCUGGGGCUGUGGUGUAGGCCCACGCCACAUGCCUAGACUGUCCUCGCGGGGUCCUUCCUCUCUGCGUGCCUGUCUCCGUUUCAACUCAUCCUGAGCCCAUUAGAGAGCUGGCCUCAGAGGACAACAGAAACGCUGACUUCCAAAGAGCAAGGAAUCUUUAGGGUAGUGUCAGGGUACAUGUCCAUUUUGCCUGAGCCAAGGGAGACAGGGAGAAAGAGGUAGCCAUCUCAAACACAAAGUAGGAGAAGCCAGCUAAAAUUUUAAAAACAUGCUAAAGCUGAGCUUAAACUUUCAUGUGAGUUUGCAAAACAUGGGGGUGCCACGUAUAGGACAAGGGUUCCAAACCCUCAUAAAGCUCUUUCCUGCAUGUUUCCACUGAAUGCUUAUGAAAAAGAGUGGGCAGCGCAGAAGUCCGUAGACAGCCUUCCUGGAGGCACACAUGUUUGGUAGGUAAUCAGUAGCCCCUAGCCGAUGAGCACAAAGCCCCACUCCUAUAUCUGUGACCUUUUCUCCUAAGAUGUAAAAAAAAAUAAAGUAAACUGUGAAGGAGAAGCUUCAAAUUCUGUCUUUCAAAAUCCUCAAGAAAAAACGACAACAACCAUAAGCCCAUAACUGAUUCUGGGAGAUGAGUGAAAACAAAACUCAUCUACUUCUGUGGGACAAACAGGCAAUCUUUUGGCUCUCAGGAUAAAGUCAAACAUCCUUGGAAGCUCAGAGGGAAGAAGGAAAAAAAGAGCCUCUCCUGGGGAAGCGAGAGCAAUAGCUCUUGGACAAAGGAGCCUGUACCUAAAGCAAGCAAGUGUCUUUUCUCCCUGGAGGAACAGCAGAGAUCUUAUGGCCCAGACCAAGUAGAAAUAUAAUGAAGGGUUUGAUUGCUCUGGGCUGCAGGAAGGGGAAGGCUCAAAAGUACAUCAGCCCAGAGCAACGUAGACUCCACCUAAGACUGUAGCUGUACCGUGGCAAUGGACAAAAUCCCUGUUCCCACAACAGGCUUUGCAUCUGGUGGAAGGUAAUAGUUAAUCUACCUGCAGAGCAGGACCGAGAGCCGGAUGAAGGACCCUGUCUGUGAUCAGGUGUGGGUAAAAGCCGGAAGCUGAGGGGGAAGGCGUCGAAGGACCCCAGCCCCUACGCUGAACGCAAAUCAAGAGCAACUGACGGUCAGAAGACAUUGAAGUCAGACCUGCCCUGAAGGUCAAGAUAAGGAUAACACAGUAACACAGGAGCACAAAUGCGGGUCAACGUCUGACUGCACCGACCUUCAUCCUGCCUCCGGAGAGACGAUACACACGCGCGUGUGCAGGUGUGAAGGUUAUCCACCUUGACAGUGCCCCUAUUAAGUAUGGUAAGUAAGAUAAUUGAAAGACGUGUCACAAAUACUAGGACAACCAAUAUCAAUGAUGUACUUUUUAAUCAUUUAAAAGUAAGUAUUUACAAUAAGCACUUACACACAGGCUAAAAGUUCUAAGACUAAACCUAUCCGUGAUGAGGAAAAUAUUCAGAGUUCAUACAUUUAAUGGUAAUUACCUUCUCUUUGGGCAAGUCCUUAUCUAGGAUUUGUAAAUGUUUCUCUAAAUUUGAUUUUGUGGUGACAGCAUACGAUGCAUCUCGGUUGUUCCUACCAGUAAAUGUAUGUAUUUCCACAACAAUAAAAUAACCGUAACCGCAUCUGUAAAGUUCUUCAUCUUGAUUGUUAGUAUAUUGUGCCCACUUCCACCGGAUUAAAUCACUUGAUUAGAGCUCAGAUUCGAAAAUCACUGCUUACCACAUAGUUUCCUUAAUUUCAAUAAUUAAAAACAAGAAAAGAAAUGUAAGUGGAAAUUAUAUAAAGGGGUUGUAUUUGUUGAGCAGUCAGUCAUUGUGAGUUGAAAAUCCAGCUAGUUGAAAAACCGCAGUUCACAUUUUGCCCUUAAGAUAAUCCAGUUAAAUUUUAAAAGCACAUUCUUUUUAUUUAUGGAAAUCAGCCAGACAACCUUUUGGCUAGAGAACUUGACAAAGGGCAAAAUGGCUAGCCUUUAUGCAAAUCAAAUCUUGAAAUUAAAUUCAAGCAAGAUACAAAAAGAGGAGUCAUUCAGCUCGGCCCUAUGUUAGGAGAUAGAUAGCAAGGUGGCCCACUUACUACAUUUAAACUGUCCUAUUUAAUUUAUCCAUGACCUCAAUAAUUUAGCUGCUCUUUUUUGAAUGGACUGUGUUGUAAACAUUUCAAGAUCUGAGAAUCCAUGGAUUUCUGCAUAUCAUUUGAUAAAAAUUGCACAAUUUAUCCUGUCUGUCUACAUGGAUCUAAUUGGGCAGAUAAAGUGUAAGUAGUUUCACCUAUAAUCUGUAGACUGAUCAUCUCGGAAGAUAAAUCUGAAUUAAGUUUCUCAUUGUUAAAAUAUGCUUACAAGGUCAGUUUCAUAGGCAUAUGGAAAUAAGAAUAGAGGACCAAGUAUUUUUACUUUUCGUAACAAGUAAAAGCAGAAAGGGGAAUGUUAACUCUUAUUGCUUGUAAACUGUUCUCAUGGAUCAGAUAAUCACAUAUUUCAAUUGAAAAUAAAUAGCUAUUGUGAGUAGGAAAGCCCGUUUGUUGGUCAGACAAGGGCAAGUUCUAAUAAUCCUAUAAAUAUAAAUUCGAUAAAAACUUAGAGACUGCUUUAGGUUUGUAUAUAAAUGAAAAACGUAUUUGGGAGUAAGCAUGUGUGUGUUUGUGUGUUUGUAAGCUGGGCAUAGGUAGUUUGAAUAGUCCUUAUGAAACAUCAUUUGCAAAGGUGGAAAGUAAUGCUUUCAUGCUAUACCCACUUGGACCAUUAGAAAUUUCAUCAAGAUUUUAUUUUGAGAAGUACUUAUCCUUAAUUACUGAUGAAAUAUUUUUAAAAUAGGUUGAAAUGGCUUAUAGAGAAUGAAUGAGCAUACGUUUUGCGAAAAUUACAUAAUGUGCUAAAACGGACUUGUGUCAAAGAACACAUGCAGCAAACCGUAGAUGCUAAGUAACAUGGUUACUGCAUUACACAAAUAACUUUAGUUUCCGGAUUAAGCCCUAAAAGACCGGGACCAAAGUUAAUCAAAAUUUAUUUUUUUCUCAUGUAAAGUUUGAUCUUUUGUUCUUGAUUUGCUUGUGGCAUUUUGCACAGUCCUUCAGGGGCCCAUAUUCCCUUCAACGUGGGCGUGGCCAUGACGUGGAACCUCAGCGCCCCCUGCUGGAUGCGUUAUAUCCAGGUCCUGAGCACUCAGCCUGCGGCCAAAAGAUGGGGCGUAAAGCACAGCGGGAGUUACAAAAGGUCUGCGUGGGCCAGGACCUGGCGUGGAAGGUACAGUUUGUGCUCACACUGUAUUAUCCCAAACUCAGGCACAGAGUCGGAGCUCACCUUGCAGGACAGGCUGGCAAGAGUGAUGCAGCUGUGUGUCUGGGUGAAGAAAGAGGAAAGAGGUCUUGCGGCCCCGGUUAGCCUGACUCACACACGUUACAUUCAUCUCUGGUCUUACGUAGGGUUUGUUGGAUCGACUUCGGAUCCUGUUACUUCCAUUUCCAAAGAAGAUUAUUUCAUUCACUUAGCCAUAAGUUAUUCAACAAGUGUUUAUUAAGUGCCGUCUCUGUACCUGGAAUGUUUAGUGACAGUGCUGUGUAUACAAACCAACCACCUGAUGUGUCUGAAGCUGAUGAGGUUUCUUGGGACUUUAAGUUCUAAAACUUGGGCAAACCAGGGAAAUGAGUGCCCUUGAAAUAUAUAUUAGUUACAUUACCACUAAAAAAUAUGCUGCCAACUUCUUGGAGUUCCCGUCGUGGUGCAGUGGUUAACGAAUCCGACUAGGAACUAUGAGGUUGCGGGUUCGAUCCCUGCCCUUGCUCAGUGGGUUAAGGAUCUGGCGUUGCUGUGAGCUGUGGUGUAGGUUGCAGAUGCGGUUUGGAUCCCAUGUUGCUGUGGCUCUGGCGUAGGCCGGUGGCUGCAGCUCCAAUUCAACUCCUAGCCUGGGAACCUCCAUAUGCUGCGGGAGCGGCCCAAGAAAUGGCAAAAAGACAAAAAAAAAUAAAUAAAAAAUAAAUUAAAAAAAUAUGCCGUCAACUUCUACUAGUAUCAAUGCUUAUUGUAAAAUAUUAGAAAGUGCAGAGAAAAUGGAAAUCUGUACAUAGCCAAGUGGUAAUAUUUUUGUAUAUAACUCUGUGAUUACUUUAUAUAAAUGGACUCAAAACAUAUACUAGUUUUCUAUCUAAUAAUUUUCUUUGUAGAAUUUUAUUUUACAGAGAAUCCAAUGAGUAUGUGUCUCUGCAUUUUUUGAGUCUUUAUAACAGACUCAAAAAUAUCUUUUAAUGUCUCUAUGGCAUUUUAAUGAAUGAACGUGUGGUUAUUCACUUUAUUAGCUUUUCAUGGUCAGACACUCAUUUCGGUUUUUGACAGCCGCGAGCACUAAUUGAACUGACGUGUUGGUAUAUACAUUUGGGGACCUUUGUGUCAGCGUAUAGUGCCGGAUGAGUAUAUGGCAUGUGCUCCAGGAGACUUACAGGGACAGGGGCAGUGGCAGGUACACCGUUGCAUUCUGGUUUUUAAUCUACUUGGUUGAGGCAGCUUGACUUACUCCUCUAGUGUGUCGGGGCUGGGGUUCUUGCCUAGAGGUUGCUGCUGUUUGGCCUGUUACAACCUCAGUCUUCAGUCUUGCUUAUCCACCCCCCACGUUCUAUCAAAAUUGUUAACCAUCAGCAGAGUCUGAGUCUUCUUACUUUGUGGGUUCCAGCUCCUGAUUGGCCUCAUCAGGGAGGGUGAUGACCUGGGCUCUGGAAGGCGGGCUUUAGCCGUUUAAUUUCAGACACGUUCAUGGCUUCCUUUCCUUUGUAUAAAUGGGUCGGAGCCCACGUCACUGGCGUUACACUGUGCAUGCACAGAAUCAAAUACAGAGUAGGUUUAUUUGCAGAAAAUGUUACUGGUAAUAAAUCAGUAAAGCUCACACAAAGUCCCAGCUUUUUAUUACUCACGGAUGAUCUGCAGGGAGCAUGCUGAGUAUCCUAACUGAGAGACACGCUGCUCCCUAAGAAUCUGCUUAUGUGCACCCGUCAGAGUCAGGAACACCUAGAAUCAUGUAACAAUGCAAGUCCCUGAUCCAGGAAGUAAGCUCAGGAAUCAAGGAUUCCAGCCGACUGGAAUCAACCCGAUCUCCUCCUCUUGAUUCAGCUCGAACCUGCUGAGCCUUUUCCCCACUAAACUACUGAAAAGGGACAGAAAGGUACAUUACCAAAAGGGUCUAGAUUUGUCUCUCCUCCCUCUCAAGAGGGCUAAUCAUUUAAAUACCAUUAGCGGAAUUCCUGUUGUAGCUCAGUAGGUUAAGAACUUGACAUAGUGUCCCUGGGGAUUUGCGUUCAAUCCCCCACCUUGCUCAGUGGGUUCACGAUCAGGUGUUGCUGUGGCUGUGGCCUAGGCUAUAGGGGCAGCUUUGAGUCAACCCCUAGGCCAGGAAUUUCCACAUGCUACAGGUUCAUCUCUAAAAAGAAAAAAAAAUGUAUAUCGUUGGCAGAACAUUUGAUUGACUAUUUAAUAGAACAUGGGUCUUUAAAGUAAGAGUUUGGGAGUUACUUUACCAAUUUGUAUAAAUACUCACUGUGCUUGUUGAGGAGAGUGGAGAUUGACUGUGAUGCUAUAUUCGUCAUGAUUAGACAGGCUAAAGUACCAGAAAAAAGCACUUUAUUAAUAAACAGAUAUUCUAAUUGCAAGAAAUACAAUUGGCUGGGGAUGAACAGUGAGUCUCUAGUGUCAUCGUGAUUUUUUCUUUAAAGUAUGUUAAUGUCUUGCACACCAAAGACCUGUGUGGUGAGAAAACCUGAAGGAAGAAAGACUUUCUAAUUCGUGAUUGUAGCUGUAUUCUUCUUCACCACGACCCUGGUAUUCUUUCCUGCCAUCUUUUAUUAAAAACAAAACCCCAAAUAUAAAACAAGGGGGAAAAAAAUCAAUGUAUUCAAAUAAUAGGGGAAGAAAGAGAAAAACUGUAUGUUUUUAGUUAUAAAUGGAGAAUAAAAUGUUGAAAAUUAUAGAAAAAAAUUAGAGUAGGAAGAAGAAAAUCUUGAAAGAUUAAGCUGGCCUCAAUUAUAAAAGUAUUAGUCAAUUAAUAGGUAUUAAAGUUUAAUUAAAAAAGGUAUCUAAACAUGAAAUUGGAACUUAAUUUAAAGACUUAAAAUUAAAGAACAUAACAUUCAGAUAAAAUAUGUCACUGUUGAAAAAUGUCCGUUAAGGGAGUUCCCAGUGUGGCUCAGUGGGUUAAGAAUCCGACACUGUGUCUGUGAGGAUACCGGUUUGAUCCUUGGCCCCACUUGGUAGGUUAAGGAUCCAGCAUUGCUGCAAGCUGCAGAGUAGGUCAC
rnacentral:lncRNA from 1 species